AAUAGAUACCCGGGUAGUCCUAGCCGUAAACGAUGAGCACUGGGUUGAAGGGUCCUCCAUAGCCUUUCAGCCGCAGCGAAAGUGUUAAGUGCUCCGCCUGGGGAGUAUGGUCGCAAGGCUGAAACUCAAAGAAAUUGACGGGGGGCUCACACAAGCGGUGGAGGAUGUGGCUUAAUUCGAGGCUACGCGAAGAACCUUAUCCUAGUCUUGACAUGCACGGAUUAACUCCCUGAAAGGGGAGCCAGGCCUUCGGGUACAACGUGCACAGGUGCUGCAUGGCUGUCGUCAGCUCGUGCUGUGAAGUGUCGGGUUAAGUCCCUUAACGAGCGAAACCCUUGUCGCUAGUUGCCAGCGAGUCAUGUCGGGGACUCUAGCGAGACCGCCGGCGUUAAGCCGGAGGAAGGCGGGGAUGACGUCAAGUCCUCAUGGCCUUUAUGACUAGGGCUGCACACGUCCUACAAUGGCGCGCACAAAGGGAUGCAAAAUCGCGAGAUCAAGCAAAUCCCAAAAAACGCGCCCCAGUUCGG
rnacentral:rRNA from 1 species